GAUGAAUUUUACUCUGCUUUAUAUGUAAAACAUUAAGCUGACUUCGUUCUUUGUGCAACCAUUUUAACAAUAUGCAUGAAGUCUCUAUGCGGAUAUAUACUUUCUGUAUUAUCUUAUCCUGUUUCAUUUCACAGUCAGAAGCAAAAUGUAGCCAGAACACAAGCGUUGAAUAUAGGUUUGGAUCUCAAUGUGGUUUUAUAUGCCACUGUGUAAUUAAUGAGCAAUGUGAUGUUGAUACUGGAGAAUGUCCAUCAGGAUGUGAUUUUGAGUGGGUUGGACCUGGAUGUCAGUACAAAAAUAUUGCUGUUAACAGCACUGGUACGUAUGAAAGACAACUAGAUAACGUUCACCCUGGCUUAUGGCCCCAAUUAGCAAACGACCGUAAUUUAUCAACAUGUAGUCACACAGGAGAUGAAAACAGACUCAGGGUUGUAAACCCCUGGUGGCUAGUUUGGUUGCCUUACAAUUUUACCUUACGACAGAUGGAGAUACUGACUAUUGACAAUAAAAGAAAAUACUUUGACGGAUUCAAAGUUAUCGUCAAAUACGCACUGAUGACCAGUCAGAUGCUUGUUAUACUCACGGUAAUAUAGCGCUGGAGUCUGUAUCCAAGACAGUGACUUGCGAAAAGAUUCACUCCGGAAAUCAAAUCAUAAUACAACUUGGUAGGAAGAAUACACAGCUCGUUCUUUGUGAUGUAAGAAUAUAUGGAGACUGUGCUGAAAAUGUCUGUGGAGAUAAAUGUGAUAAGCUUUGUUAUUGUACGGACAAUACAGCUUACAAUAAAGUGUCAGGAAUAUGCUCAAAUGGAUGUAAAGGAAGAUGGUCGGGCAAAGAUGGAGCUUGUGAUAUAGAAUGUGCCAAUGACAAGUGGGGAGAGUCAUGUGAUACUAAAUGCGGCCAAUGUCGAAAUGAUACACCAUGUGAUGUGGUUACUGGAAAAUGUCCCUCUGGAUGUAAAGAUGGCUACAAAGAUACAGAAAUGUGUGACAUUGGUAACGCCGAUGUUUAUAACUCGAACUUGUUAUUAUUCCUUUAAAGUUAUCUGUCAAUACAUUACAUAACACGCGUUAUCUAUAGCAUGGCCAAUACGUAAACUGUAAGCACAGUUGCAUAUGUUGUCAAUGUUGUUCAUGUAUAUUAUAUCCUAAAAUGACACUAAACAUUAACCAAAUGAUAUCACUCUGGCCAUAGCUUUAUCAGAUCAAGUGGUCCUAACGU